rnacentral:misc_RNA from 1 species
GAUGAAGAACGCAGCGAAAUGCGAUACGUAAUGUGAAUUGCAGAAUUCAGUGAAUCAUCGAAUCUUUGAACGCAUAUUGCGCUCUCUGGUACUCCGGAGAGCAUGCUUGUUUGAGUAUCAGUAAACACCUCAACUUCCAUAUCUUUUUUGAAAUGGGAGUUGGACUUGAGUGAUCCCAACGCUUUUCCUCACCGAAAAGUGGCGGGUUACUUGAAAUGCAGGUGCAGCUGGACUUUUCUCUGAGCUAUAAGCAUAUCUAUUUAGUCUGCCUAAAAAACAGAUUAUUACCUUUGCUGCAGCUAACAUAAAGGAGAUUAGUUCUUGUGCUGACUGAUGCAGGAUUCACAAAGACAGGCUUCGGCCGACUUUGUAAACUCGAUCUCAAAUCAAGUAAGACUACCCGCUGAACUUAAGCAUAUCAAUAAGCGGAGGA